rnacentral:tRNA from 1 species
CAGAGUAUAGCUAAAUAUUAUAGCUCUUCCUUUACACUGAAAAGUUGCCUGCGUAAAUCGGGCUACUCUGA